AAAGCGUGCGCAGGCGGUUUUGUAAGUCUGUCGUGAAAUCCCCGGGCUCAACCUGGGAAUUGCGAUGGAGACUGCAAGGCUGGAGUUUGGCAGAGGGGGGUAGAAUUCCACGUGUAGCAGUGAAAUGCGUAGAUAUGUGGAGGAACACCGAUGGCGAAGGCAGCCCCCUGGGUCAAGACUGACGCUCAUGCACGAAAGCGUGGGGAGCAAACAGGAUUAGAUACCCUGGU
rnacentral:rRNA from 1 species